rnacentral:rRNA from 1 species
AGUGAACGCUGGCGGUAGGCCUAACACAUGCAAGUCGAACGGCAGCACAGUAAGAGCUUGCUCUUACGGGUGGCGAGUGGCGGACGGGUGAGGAAUACAUCGGAAUCUACUUUUUCGUGGGGGAUAACGUAGGGAAACUUACGCUAAUACCGCAUACGACAUACGGGUGAAAGCAGGGGAUCUUCGUACCUUGCGCGAUUGAAUGUGCCGAUGUCGGAUUAGCUAGUUGGGGGGGUAAAGGCCCACCAAGGCGACGAGCCGUAGCUGGUCUGAGAGGAUGAUCAGCCACACUGGAACUGAGACACGGUCCAGACUCCUACGGGAGGCAGCAGUGGGGAAUAUUGGACAAUGGGCGCAAGCCUGAUCCAGCCAUACCGAGUGGGUGAAGAAGGCCUUCGGGUUGUAAAGCCCUUUUGUUGGGAAAGAAAAGCAGCAGGUUAAUACCCCGCUGUUCUGACGGUACCCAAAGAAUAAGCACCGGCUAACUACGUG